GAGAACUUGACCCCUCAUCACGUGGGACUACCCCCUGAAAUCAAACAUAUCAAAAAACGGGAGGAAAAA
rnacentral:rRNA from 1 species